rnacentral:rRNA from 1 species
CCUUACCAGGGUUUGACAUCCUGCGAAUCUCCUGGAAACGGGAGAGUGCCUUCGGGAACGCAGUGACAGGUGGUGCAUGGCUGUCGUCAGCUCGUGUCGUGAGAUGUUGGGUUAAGUCCCGCAACGAGCGCAACCCACGUCUUUAGUUGCCAGCAUUCAGUUGGGCACUCUAGAGAGACCGCCGGUGAUAAACCGGAGGAAGGUGUGGAUGACGUCAAGUCAUCAUGCCCCUUACAUCCUGGGCUACACACGUACUACAAUGCUACGGACAAAGGGCAGCAAACUCGCGAGAGCUAGCAAAUCCCAUAAACCGUGGCUCAGUUCAGAUCGUAGGCUGCAACUCGCCUACGUGAAGGAGGAAUCGCUAGUAAUCGCAGGUCAGCAUACUGCGGUGAAUACGUUCCC